CAUACCUGCAGCACUGGCGGCCGCUCACUCCGUACCUGCACACCUUCUCCAGACAGGGCUGAGCAGGCCUGGAUCUGCCACUCUCGGUCCCGGCACUGGUGAGUCUCAAUUUGCCGUGAGGUCUCCACGACCCAAGGGGGAGAUGGGAACCCUUGAAGCUACAUCUGCCCUGAGGAGAACUGGAGCCGCACUCAGCAUUGCCUGAGGGACAGAACGCUCCUGGCACCCAGAGCACCUUGGGCAAAGGGCAGCUACUGUCUGGCGCCCACGCCUCUUUUCCUGGCAGAGUGGUGUCAGCAUGGCCUCAGCUGACACUGUCUCACCUUCCAUUCUUUGCUUUGCUUUCCAGCUUUACAUCUCCCAGUUCACUACCUGAGUAAAUGGCUUUCUUACA